GGAUGGAGGGCUGCUCACUCCACUGCCAACACAUCUGAACAGACACUGCUACACAGAGGAUAAGAAAGGGUAUCGCCAUCCAUCUCACAGAGGCCACAAAUCUGCUCCUCCACUCCUCACGACUGAAUAGGGUGAGCCAGCAGCCGAAAACGAGCAAACUUGAGGAUGGGGAGAAACCAGAGGGAUUGCGAAUGAGUUGGCAGGUGAGAGCAAAAUGAGAGAAAGAGACAACCAGGGCUACAGGCUGAUGCUUUAUCAUCCUGA
rnacentral:lncRNA from 1 species